UGUGGUUAGCGGUGAAAUGCCAAUCGAACUCGGAGAUAGCUGGUUCUCCUCGAAACAGUUUUAGGACUGGCGUCAUGUGGUAGCAGUCGGGGGUAGAGCUCUGUAAAGGACUGGGGGGAGCAAUCCUACCCACCCUUAACAAACUACGAAUACCGGCUGUGGAAUCAUGGCAGUUAGAACGGCGGAGCUAAGUUCGUCGCUCAAAAGGGAAACAGCCCAGACCAUCGUCUAAGGUCCCUAAAUUUACGUUAAGUGGGAAACAAGGUGAGAUUUCUUAAACAGCUAGGAUGUUGGCUUAGAAGCAGCCAUUCAUUUAAAGAGUGCGUAACAGCUCACUAGUCAAGAGAUUUUGCGUGGAAAAUGUAACGGGGCUAAAGUGUUAAACCGAAGACAUGGACUUCUGCUUUUGCAGGAGUGGUAGAGGAGCGUUGAUAUCGCAGCGAAGUCAGACUGGAAAGUCUGGUGGAGCGUUAUCAAGUGAGAAUGCUGGAAUCAGUAACCUUAAGGCAGGUGAGAAUCCUGCCGGUCGUAAGAGCAAGGUUUCCAGGGCUACAGUAAUUGUCCCUGGGUUAGUCGGUCCUAAGCCGAGGCGUAUCAGCGUAGGCGAUGGACAACAGGUUAAUAUUCCUGUACAGGUAGUAGUUGUGAACAGUUCACGGUGAAUGACCGGAGCGGAUUAAUGGUUUAUCCGUCCAAGUCUUUAGGGAACUAAAGAUGAGUGAAAGGUAAUCUUCGGAUUAUUAAUUCCGGGUAAAGCGCUGGCUAGAAAAGCUGGUUCACUUAUGCUGCUGCCUACCGUACCGCAAACCAACACCGGUGCUCGGGUCGAGUAGACCAAGACCUACGUGAGAACCUUCGCUAAGGAACUCGGCAAAAAAGCGUCCGUAACUUCGGAAUAAGGACUGCCCUCUCAUUAAGAUGAGGAUUUGCUAGAAACUCAGCAGAAGAUUCAGAUAAAAAUAUCUGGUUAUUUAAAAUUACAUUUUUUGAGACCAUAAGCAUGGGCGAGCGCCCUUGAGCGUGUCGAAAAAAAUGUAAUCAAAUGAUUUACCUUUAACUGAAUUUUUUCGUUGAGACAGAACACAAAUCAGGAUUUGUUUUAACAAAUUCGUGUCUUUUCUAGUAGUCUAAUCGUCAUUUUGAUGAGAGGGCCGCAGCUAAAGAGCCCACGGAACUGUUUACCAAAAACAUAGGUCUCUGCUAACGCGAAAGCGGAUGUAUAGGGGCUGACUCCUGCCCGGUGUCGGAAGGUUAAGGGGAGAGCUUUACGGUUCGAACUGAAGCCCCGAUGAACGGCGGCGAUAACUAUGAUCGUCCUAAGGUAGCGAAAUUCCUUGUCUGGUAAGUUCAGACCCGCACGAAUGGAGUAAUCAUGUGGGCACUGUCUCGGCGAAGGCCACGGUGAACGUGCAUUGGCGGUAAAGAUGCCGUCUGAUCAUGCCAGGACGAGAAGACCCCAUGGAGCUUUACUACAACUUUGCAUUGAUUAUUGGGACAUUUUGUGUAGAAUAGGUGGAAGACUUUGAAGCAGAUACGCUAGUAUUUGUGGAGUCGAAAUGUGAAAUACCACCCUGAAUGUUUUAGUAAUCUCACUUUUGACCUGAUCGGCCAAAAGGACCGUGCAUGGCGGGUAGUUUAACUGGGGCGGUUGCCUCCUAAAGAGUAGCGGAGGCGUUCAAAGGU
rnacentral:rRNA from 1 species